AAAAAAAAAAAAAGACAAAGAUUUUGAGGGGUUGCUCAGCCUUAAAGUUAAAAUUCGAUUGUGGUGUUCUCAUAGUUUAUAAAACUGACUGUCGUGUUUAGAGCAGGUGGGGCUUUUUUUUGGCUUGGUGUUUAUGGAGGAAGGCAAUCAGGUUGGGAAUGCAUUUGGCUGAUGUACCUCAAGGUUUAAUCAGGUAUCAUACAUUCUUCAAAGAGGAAUGUCCUGGAGGAAAUCUGCAAUGGGCGGUGACAGGUGCUUAUCUUCUGUACCUGAAGGUUCAGUUUGACCAUGGGGCUUCAUUGUUAAGAGUUACUAUGAAGUGUAAUUGAAAAUGAGUAAAAAUUCUCAGUAAACUGCAUUCAAACCCACCACUCAAAGGCAAGGUGAUAUUACUUAAAAUGAAUUAAAAAAAAAAAAAAAAA